rnacentral:piRNA from 1 species
CCUGAAUAUUGUAUGUGGGCUCACAAGCUGU